GGGAAUGAAACUGUGACCUCCUGGUUCGUGGGUCUACGCUCAACCACUGAGACAUACAGGUUGGGCUGAACUCUCUCUUAAUACUUGGUUAAAAAAAUUUUUUUCAUUUGGUUAGAACUCCCCCACCCCCUGCCCCGUGACCUUUUCCAUCCUUAACUCUAACAUACAUUGAUUUAGUUGGAUUAUUUUCCUUCUCAGAAAGAAAGGAGGUUGUUGCCCUACCCCUUAGUAAUAAAUACAUUGUACUUUAAAAAUUUCUUUAACAUCAUAUGCCUGCCAUUUAGUUUACACUGGGGGAAGAAAAGUUGGCUCUGAGUAUUUGAAAGCGAUCUCAAACUGUACAAAUAAUGGUUGAUCAUUUGGUAAAUAAAAGUUACAUAACAGCUUAAUGAGAAGUCAGCAUGACUCUGAAUAAGCUUUACCCUAGAAGUUUAU